GACAACCAGGAGGUUGGCUUAGAAGCAGCCAUCCUUGAAAGAGUGCGUAAUAGCUCACUGGUCAAGUGAUCGUGCGCCGACAAUGUAGCGGGGCUCAAGCACACCGCCGAAGCCGCGGAUCCUCAACAAGCACCCUGUCAAUAUUUUUGUUGGCCAGGGGUUGGGGGUGGUAGGGGAGCGUUGUGUACUGGGUGAAGCGGCCGAGUAAUUGUGUCGUGGACGGUACGCAAGUGAGAAUGCAGGCAUGAGUAGCGAUACUAGGGUGAGAAACCCUAGCGCCGAAUGACCAAGGGUUCCAGGGCUAGGCUAGUCCGCCCUGGGUGAGUCGGGUCCUAAGGCGAGGCCGACAGGCGUAGUCGAUGGAUAACCGGUUGAUAUUCCGGUACCGGCUGGUAACCGUCAAGUGUUGACUGAAAGGUACUAACCCACGCUAAAAACAUGACUGAACGCCUUUUGGGUGUUUGGUUGUGGUUUUGGUUUGGGGACAGGCUUUCUUGGUAGGCAAGCGUGUGGAGUGACGCACAGUGGAAGCCUUCGCGAGGUGAUGGAAUACCUCGUUUAACCGUGUAGCUUACUGCCUAGGUAAAUCCGGGUGGUUUUAUGUGAGGCGGGAUGAUGACCAUCUUUUGGGUGGGAAGUAGGGGUGAUCCUGUGGUGCCGAGAAAAGCUUCGACGCGAGGUGGCUGGCCGCCCGUACCCUAAACCGACACAGGUGGUCGGGCAGAGUAUGCCUAGGCGCACGAGAUAAUCAUGGUUAAGGAACUCGGCAAAAUGCCCCCGUAACUUCGGGAGAAGGGGGGCCUGAUACUUGAUGAAACCAUUUUUGGCUUUCUAGGGUUGAGGGUCGCAGAGACCAGGGAGAAGCGACUGUUUACUAAAAACACAGGUGCGUGCGAAGCCGUAAGGCGAUGUAUACGUACUGACGCCUGCCCGGUGCUGGAAGGUUAAGAGGAACCGUCAACCUUUGUUGGUGAAGCGGUGAAUUUAAGCCCCAGUAAACGGCGGUGGUAACUAUAACCAUCCUAAGGUAGCGAAAUUCCUUGUCGGGUAAGUUCCGACCUGCACGAAUCGGAAAGACCCCGGGACCUUUACUAUAGCUUGGUAUUGGUGCGCGUUAUAGCUUGUGUAGGAUAGGUGGGAGACUGUGAAGUGGUCACGCUAGUGAUUGUGGAGUCGUUGUUGAAAUACCACUCUGGUUAUAGCGUGUGCCUGAACCUUGGCCCGUGAUCCGGGUUAGGGACAGUGCCUGGUGGGUAGUUUAACUGGGGCGGUUGCCUCCUAAAUUGUAACGGAGGCGCUCAAAGGUUCCCUCAUCCUGGUCGGUAACCAGGUGUUGAGUGUAAGUGCACAAGGGGGCUUGACUGCGAGACUGACAGGUCGAGCAGGUACGAAAGUAGGAACUAGUGAUCCGGCGAUCCCGUGUGGGUGGGUCGUCGCUCAACGGAUAAAAGGUACCCCGGGGAUAACAGGCUGAUCCUGCCCAAGAGUCCAUAUCGACGGCAUGGUUUGGCACCUCGAUGUCGGCUCGUCGCAUCCUGGGGCUGGAGCAGGUCCCAAGGGUUGGGCUGUUCGCCCAUUAAAGCGGUACGCGAGCUGGGUUUAGAACGUCGUGAGACAGUUCGGUCCCUAUCCUCUGCGCGCG
rnacentral:rRNA from 1 species